rnacentral:rRNA from 1 species
CCGCUAUGGCCGCAGCCUAACACAUGCAAGUCGAGCGGUAGCACAGAGAGCUUGCUCUCGGGUGACGAGCGGCGGACGGGUGAGUAAUGUCUGGGAAACUGCCUGAUGGAGGGGGAUAACUACUGGAAACGGUAGCUAAUACCGCAUAACGUCGCAAGACCAAAGUGGGGGACCUUCGGGCCUCAUGCCAUCAGAUGUGCCCAGAUGGGAUUAGCUAGUAGGUGGGGUAACGGCUCACCUAGGCGACGAUCCCUAGCUGGUCUGAGAGGAUGACCAGCCACACUGGAACUGAGACACGGUCCAGACUCCUACGGGAGGCAGCAGUGGGGAAUAUUGCACAAUGGGCGCAAGCCUGAUGCAGCCAUGCCGCGUGUAUGAAGAAGGCCUUCGGGUUGUAAAGUACUUUCAGCGGGGAGGAAGGCGAUAAGGUUAAUAACCUUGUCGAUUGACGUUACCCGCAGAAGAAGCACCGGCUAACUCCGUGCCAGCAGCCGCGGUAAUACGGAGGGUGCAAGCGUUAAUCGGAAUUACUGGGCGUAAAGCGCACGCAGGCGGUCUGUCAAGUCGGAUGUGAAAUCCCCGGGCUCAACCUGGGAACUGCAUUCGAAACUGGCAGGCUAGAGUCUUGUAGAGGGGGGUAGAAUUCCAGGUGUAGCGGUGAAAUGCGUACAGAUCUGGAGGAAUACCGGUGGAGAAGGCGGCCCCCCUGUACAAAACUGACGCUUCAGGUGCGAAAGCGUGGGGAGUAAACAGGAUAGAUAC